AGGAAGUAAAAGUCGUAACAAGGUCUCCGUUGGUGAACCAGCGGAGGGAUCAUUACCGAGUUUACAACUCCCAAACCCAAUGUGAACGUUACCAAACUGUUGCCUCGGCGGGAUCUCUGCCCCGGGUGCGUCGCAGCCCCGGACCAAGGCGCCCGCCGGAGGACCAACCAAAACUCUUUUGUAUACCCCCUCGCGGGUUUUUAUAUAUCUGAGCCAUCUCGGCGCCUCUCGUAGGCGUUUCGAAAAUGAAUCAAAACUUUCAACAACGGAUCUCUUGGUUCUGGCAUCGAUGAAGAACGCAGCGAAAUGCGAUAAGUAAUGUGAAUUGCAGAAUUCAGUGAAUCAUCGAAUCUUUGAACGCACAUUGCGCCCGCCAGUAUUCUGGCGGGCAUGCCUGUCCGAGCGUCAUUUCAACCCUCGAACCCCUCCGGGGGGUCGGCGUUGGGGAUCGGCCCUUUACGGGGCCGGCCCCGAAAUACAGUGGCGGUCUCGCCGCAGCCUCUCCUGCGCAGUAGUUUGCACACUCGCAUCGGGAGCGCGGCGCGUCCAUUGCCGUUAAACACCCAACUUUCUGAAAUGUUGACCUCGGAUCAGGUAGGAAUACCCGCUGAACUUAAGCAUAUCAAUAGGCCGGAG
rnacentral:rRNA from 1 species